AUUUAAAUCUCAUCUUUUUGGCUAAGAUCCAAAGUGUGGUAUCUGUUCUUAUCAGCUUGAUAUCUGAUAUGUUCCCUAUUUGGGGCCAUUGAUAUUAAACUGAUUUUGGAAUGAGGCAAAGAGUUAAGGGCCUGCUCCGCCUUCAAUAUCUGCUCUGGCAUGGUUUCUGCAACUGGGUACCCUUCU